CGAACUGCAGUGCCCUAUCUGUCACCAACUGCUUUCCUCAUCGUGUAACCGAUUCGCAAUUAUGGUCAACUAUGGCGUCGUACUCCUGCUGGGUGUUAUAUCAUUGAUGGCUGGAUCGACUGCUGGUGUAGCGAUGUCUCCUUGGUAUGGCGGAAAGCCGGAAACCAAACCGCAACGCUGCCGCCUUCCUACUCAACUUACUGCACCGAUGUCUUCAAGUACUACAUUACCAAAGCACCGGAGUUUUAUACCACAAUUUACGCUGCCCCGAGCCACUACACUGAUGCCCUGAAGUAUUACUCUGCCCCGAGUUACUACACCAUCUAGGCGACGGAUGACACCACAUGACUACGUAUACUGCCUAUCCUACUACACCGAGGCUUCUAACUGCUACACCGAGGCUCCCGCUGAUUUCUCCACUAAGACGGUCGAAUACUACACCGAAG